AGUGAACGCUGGCGGUAGGCCUAACACAUGCAAGUCGAACGGCAGCACAGUAAGAGCUUGCUCUUACUGUUGGCGAGUGGCGGACGGGUGAGGAAUACAUCGGAAUCUACUUUUUCGUGGGGGAUAACGUAGGGAAACUUACGCUAAUACCGCAUACGACCUACGGGUUAAAGCAGGGGAUCUUCGGACCUUGCGCGAUUGAAUGAGCCGAUGUCGGAUUAGCUAGUUGGCGGGGUAAAGGCCCACCAAGGCGACGAUCCGUAGCUGGUCUGAGAGGAUGAUCAGCCACACUGGAACUGAGACACGGUCCAGACUCCUACGGGAGGCAGCAGUGGGGAAUAUUGGACAAUGGGCGCAAGCCUGAUCCAGCCAUACCGCGUGGGUGAAGAAGGCCUUCGGGUUGUAAAGCCCUUUUGUUGGGAAAGAAAAGCAGCAGGUUAAUACCCCGCUGUUCUGACGGUACCCAAAGAAUAAGCACCGGCUAACUUCGUG
rnacentral:rRNA from 1 species